UCCAAGCGCCCCUGGCGCAGAGGAGGGCCACCAGCGACCCGCUCCGCAUUUCGGGCAGCGGGGCUCCCGCAGCUCGGCUCUACGCCUCCUUUAGCAUCGGCUGCGUCCUCUGCCGAGGUGCAAAUCCGGCAGCAGCACACGCCGCAGGGAUCUUUCCCCUUCCCCUUGUCCCCUUGUCCCCGUGCUCCCGUCCCCCAGCCCGGCCCGGGGGCGCGGAGCUGCGGGUCCCUCCCGGCGGUUCCCACGGUGCGGGGACCUGGGGCUCCCCGUCGCCUUCCCGACCGCAGCGGAGUGUUUCCGCCUCUUUUUUUUUUUUUUUUUAAAGGGGUGAUUUUCCCCCGCCGGGCCGGCCGAGAAGGGGCUGAUUACCGGCGGCGCGCCGCGACCGUCCGCAACCACGCUGGAAGCCGCCUCCUCCGCCCAAAACUUUCCCUCCGAGUACGGGAAGUUCACGGCCGGCCCGAGCCGAGCCGUGCCGAGCCGAGCCGUGCCGGGCCACCCUUCCUGUCCCGGCGCACAGUGGGGCUGCGCCUCCGUCCCGCUGCCCGCACCCUCGGGUCCCAUCCCCUUCCCCAUCCCCAUCUCUAUCCCCAUCCCCAUCUUUAUCCCCAUUCCCAUCCCCAUCCCUUUUCCCAUCCCUGUCCCGUUCCCAUCCCUGUCCCGUUCCCAUCCCCGUCCCAUUCCCAUCCCCAUCCCCAUCCCCAUCCCCACGCGCGAUCACCGUGGCUCACCUGCGCACGCGAAGAACGCGCGCCCCACGCGCGCCGCGCUCUCUCCUUCUUCUUCUUCUCCCUCUUCCUCCUUCUCCUCCUCCUCCUCCUCUUCCUCGGCCCGCGCUCUCCAGCCCCGCCUCUCCGCUCGUUGCACCGGCGAGGAGGAGGCUCCGGGCCCCCCCCCCAACCCCCCGGCCCGAGGGGGGCACUCGGCAGCAGCCGUGCUUGGGGACCCCGGGAGGGAGGCAGGGGGCUCGCAGCCAAGUCCCCGCCGCGUCCCUCCCGCAGCUGGCGGGGUCCUGCCGGCAGGAGGCGGGUGGCACGGCCACGCGUGGGCCAGGGCUCCCCCUCCUGGCCCGAGCUGCGCUCCCAGCCUGGAGCUGCUCGGAGGGGAGGAGGAGGCGCGGCCCCAGCGCUGCGGCAGCCCCCGAGGAAAGGAAAAAGGGCUGGGGGCGAAGGGGCUUCGUGCCGAGCACCCUCUGCCCCCCGCAGAGCGUGGGGAGGGAAAGGGGCGUGGGUGGGAGCCGUGGCACCGUGCUGCAGGUGUUGA
rnacentral:lncRNA from 1 species